UGGUGGGUUACCCAAGUUGGUUAAGAGGGCAGUUUGCUAAACUGUUAGGUCUGUUUUACGCAGGCGCAAGGGUUCGAGUCCCUUACUCACCGU
rnacentral:tRNA from 1 species